rnacentral:lncRNA from 1 species
UUUCACUCUGACCUUGGUAUAAAUUAGGGAAGGGGCAAGAAUGGCAGCAGAAACAACAGUGGAGAUGUAUUAAUAGUUUAGGGAAAAGGAAAUGAAGACUGAAAUUAAGAUGAAGGGUUAACAGCCAGGUCCUUGCCUGCUGUGCAGUCUGAUGAAAGACUUCAGCCUCUGCUCAAUCACCUCAGUCAUUCCUACACUGGCCAAGAUUACAGUACCCAGGGAAAUGUUGGGAAAAUUUCUUUAGAUCAGAUUGAUUUGCUUUCUACCAAAUCCUUCCCACCUUGCAUGCGUCAGUUACAUAAAGCCUUGCGGGAAAAAUCACCAUCUUCGUCAUUGAGGCCGAAUGCAGUAUGACCUAUUUCUGAAGGGCAUUGGUUUAACUUUGGAACAGGCAUUGUAGUUCUGGAAGCAAGAAUUUAUCAAAGGAAAGAUGGAUCCAGACAAGUUGAGACGGGGUUUCACCAUUUUGGCUAGGCUG